GAAGCAUGGCGACAUGCGGAGCUGAGUGAUACUAAUCGGUCGAGGCCUUGUUCUA
rnacentral:rRNA from 1 species